rnacentral:lncRNA from 1 species
CACAAAACAAGAAAUAAUCCAAUAUCAAAAACCAGGAUGUAAAAGUAUAGCAACAAUCAGCCAAAACAAUAAUAAAUGAAUUUCAAACCAAUGAUGUUCAUUGGAAAAGCCCAAAAUAACAGAACCAACAUCAAUCAAUAAGUCACACUAAAAAUAUACGCGGUGAUGGCCUCUUCCUGGCUAGAUCUAGCACACUAAUAUUAUAAAAUGAAAAAGACCCCAAAACAGCGGCGACAUCAUCAUGGUGGUGUUGCUUCAAUGGAGUUCACCAAAGCAACGCCGAAAAAUGGAAAAGUGUCUAGAUCUGGCCAAUUUUUCAGUGAACAGUGGCAGAAAGAGAAGGAAAAGGAAGGCGCUUCUGGUGGUGCGUGGCAGCGUAUGAUGGUGCACUUAGAUGAAGCCCGCCCGUUGGUGGUCAAAUCUAGCAUGGAGCGGUAAAGAAAAAAGAGAGAAGGGUCGUUUAGUGGUGGAUAGAAGCUCACCGAUCAUCACCUCCGACGAGCCUGUAUGGAUUGGCAGAGGAGAGAAAAUGGAGCAACGGUGGGUUAGUGUUAAUGACCAGUGGCAGUGGCUGGUUGGUGGUUCUCUGGCUGGGAAAAUAAGAGGAGGAAGGGAGUCGUGUAGUGGUAGUAUGGUUGUCGCCAGAGCCUGUUCACCGAAGCUCCGACAGGGACAACAUUAAAGGGAAAAAGAGAGAGGCGUGAGAGAGAAUAAAGAAAGAGAGAAACAUA